rnacentral:rRNA from 1 species
UGUGANACGGGAUUCUACGUGCUCAUGUAAAGCAUUGGGCUUUUGCUAUAGUUGUAAAUAAUCAUGGCGAAUAAGGGGUGGGCAAGACUGGUGCCAGCCGCCGCGGUAACACCAGCGCCCCAAGUGGCAACCAGCAUUAUUGGGCCUAAAGCGUCCGUAGCCGGGAUGGUAAAUCUUUUGUGAAAUUGUUGGGCUCAACCCAACGGCGUGCAGGAAACACUGCUAUCCUUGGGACCGGGAGGGGUCAGAGGUAUUCUGGGGGGAGCGGUAAAAUGUUGUAAUCCUCGGAGGACCACCUGUGGCGAAGGCGUCUGACCAGAACGGAUCCGACGGUGAGGGACGAAAGCUAGGGGAGCAAACCGGAUUAGAUACCCGAGAACUGCUUUAAGCAAAUUUCGGGAGCUAGGUGUGACAGAUUUGCUUGACAUACUACAAGUACGAAUUAAAGAAAAAAUAAACUGCCUGGAUUUCCUCGCUGCUUACCCGAGAAUUCCUAGAAUUGCG